UACGGAGGGUGCAAGCGUUGUCCGGAUUUAUUGGGUUUAAAGGGUGCGUAGGUGGUCUAUUAAGUCAGUGGUGAAAUCGUACAGCUUAACUGUGCAACUGCCAUUGAUACUGGUAGACUUGAGUAUUGUUGAGGCAGGCGGAAUUUAUGAUGUAGCGGUGAAAUGCAUAGAUAUCAUAAAGAACACCGAUAGCGAAGGCAGCUUGCUAAGCAGUAACUGACACUGAUGCACGAAAGCGUGGGGAGCGAACAGG
rnacentral:rRNA from 1 species